rnacentral:misc_RNA from 1 species
GAACAGUUCACUAAACGGCAUAGAUCACAAUUUCAUAAUAAUGGGACCGAUACAGGAUUGGAAAAAAUGGCUUAGUUCAAUCUGGACCUCUCCAGAGCUAUGCUCACUCCGAACAAGAUCUAUCAUUAAUGGGAACAACUGAGAAAUGUACUUCCUAAAAGAAUCCAUUUGCCAACUGCACAGAAUGCGUAGUACUGACAGAACCAAGGGAGUCCUUGCUACCAGUUCUUCCUUCUUCGCUGAUCCCAAGGGAAGAUUCCACUGGUAUAUUGCUUUAUCAUCUGGUUUCUUCUUGACAGAGUUCAACCCAGCACAUUCCAAGUAUACACGUAGAAUUUCUUCACAUACACCCACAAGUUCUGGUUCUAUAUUCUUCUCUUCGACAAAUGAUGGAUUGCUCACAAGCAACUCAUGCAAGAAAUUGAGGUAAUUCUGGUAGGACUCAUUUUCAAAAAUUACCAGCGGAGGUUCUGGUAUCUCAAGGAUAGAACAUGCUUUUUGCAGCUCCACUUGUACAACUUUCUCAGAUUUCAAUUGCUGAGCAUGAGAAGUGAUAGCUGAAUAGAUUCCAAGGAGGACAGUGACAGUAUCAACUGAUAUUGAUUGCCGACACAUCUUGUAGAGAUCAGAUGAAACCUGUAUGAUGCGCAACUGAGCUGCUAUAUGGUCCUUCAUCCUUGAAACAACAUAUCCCGCAGUAUGCAGGUUGUCAUCAUCUGAUUCAUCAUAUACCAAUCCAGCCCCAGAAGAUGUUUCCAUAUCACUAAUAGAUAUCUCAAUGUUGUCCAUUGUUCUCAAAAGCUUCUGAAAAUUGGGUAGAGUGGAAUAUGAAGCUUCUUUCAGAGCUAGAAAGAUAACUUCCCAUUCCUCUUCACAGAAUUUGCCUCUCAAAUCCCCUGCCAACCGCAUCACAGAAGCUACCCCAGUAGCUGCAGGAUCCUUGCCAGAACCUUUUAUGAAUCCUACCAUUAUAGAGACUACACUAGGCAAUUCAGACCUCACAAUAUCAAAGAAAUUAACAAACAAAUCCACCAAACAUUGAGCUGCCACCACAGAAGUUUCAGAGUCCCAUAAGCAUCCAUCUGCUGGUGGUGUGUAUCUGGAUUUAAAUGACUGGUCAUAUUUCACUUC